AUUGAACGCUGGCGGCAUGCCUUACACAUGCAAGUCGAACGGCAGCGGGCCUUCGGGUGCCGGCGAGUGGCGAACGGGUGAGUAAUGCAUCGGAACGUGCCAUUGAGUGGGGGGAUAACGUAGCGAAAGUUACGCUAAUACCGCAUAUUCUGUGAGCAGGAAAGCAGGGGACCGCAAGGCCUUGCGCUCUUUGAGCGGCCGAUGUCAGAUUAGCUAGUUGGUGAGGUAAAGGCUUACCAAGGCGACGAUCUGUAGCGGGUCUGAGAGGAUGAUCCGCCACACUGGAACUGAGACACGGUCCAGACUCCUACGGGAGGCAGCAGUGGGGAAUUUUGGACAAUGGGCGCAAGCCUGAUCCAGCCAUGCCGCGUGAGUGAAGAAGGCCUUCGGGUUGUAAAGGCUCUUUCGGCCGGGACGAGUAAUGACGGUACCUGGAUAAGAAG
rnacentral:rRNA from 1 species